AGAACGAACGCUGGCGGCAGGCCUAACACAUGCAAGUCGAGCGAUUGCAGCAAUGCAGGAGCGGCAGACGGGUGCGGAACACGUGGGAACAUACCCUUUGGUUUGGAAUAACUCAGGGAAACUUGAGCUAAUACCGGAUAAGCCCGCAAGGGGAAAGAUUUAUCGCCGAAGGAUUGGCCCGCGUCCGAUUAGCUAGUUGGUGAGGUAAUGGCUCACCAAGGCGACGAUCGGUAGCUGGUCUGAGAGGAUGAUCAGCCACAUUGGGACUGAGACACAGCCCAAACUCCUACGGGAGGCAGCAGUGGGGAAUAUUGGACAAUGGGCGCAAGCCUGAUCCAGCCAUGCCGCGUGAGUGAUGACGGCCUUAGGGUUGUAAAGCUCUUUCACCCACGGCGAUAAUGACGGUAGUGGGAGAAGAAGCCCCGGCUAACUUCGUGCCAGCAGCCGCGGUAAUACGAAGGGGGCUAGCGUUGCUCGGAAUGACUGGGCGUAAAGGGCGCGUAGGCGGCCUACACAGUCAGAUGCGAAAUUCCUGGGCUCAACCUGGGGACUGCAUUUGAUACGUGUAAGCUUGAGUGGAGAAGAGGGUCGUGGAAUUUCCAGUGUAGAGGUGAAAUUCGUAGAUAUUGGAAAGAACACCGGUGGCGAAGGCGGCGACCUGGUCUUUAACUGACGCGGAGGCGCGAAAGCGUGGGGAGCAAACAGGAUUAGAUACCCUGGUAGUCCACGCUGUAAACGAUGGAUGCUAGCCGUUAGGCAGCUUGCUGCUUAGUGGCGCAGCUAACGCUUUAAGCAUCCCGCCUGGGGAGUACGGUCGCAAGAUUAAA
rnacentral:rRNA from 1 species